rnacentral:rRNA from 1 species
ACGUGGGUAACCUGCCCAAGAGACUGGGAUAACACCUGGAAACAGAUGCUAAUACCGGAUAACAACACUAGACGCAUGUCUAGAGUUUGAAAGAUGGUACUGCUAUCACUCUUGGAUGGACCUGCGGUGCAUUAGCUAGUUGGUAAGGUAACGGCUUACCAAGGCAAUGAUGCAUAGCCGAGUUGAGAGACUGAUCGGCCACAUUGGGACUGAGACACGGCCCAAACUCCUACGGGAGGCAGCAGUAGGGAAUCUUCCACAAUGGACGAAAGUCUGAUGGAGCAACGCCGCGUGAGUGAAGAAGGGUUUCGGCUCGUAAAGCUCUGUUGGUAGUGAAGAAAGAUAGAGGUAGUAACUGGCCUUUAUUUGACGGUAAUUACUUAGAAAGUCACGGCUAACUACGUGCCAGCAGCCGCGGUAAUACGUAGGUGGCAAGCGUUGUCCGGAUUUAUUGGGCGUAAAGCGAGUGCAGGCGGUUAAAUAAGUCUGAUGUGAAAGCCUUCGGCUCUACCGGAAGAAUUGCAUCAGAAACUGUUGAACUUGAGUGCAGAAGAGGAGAGUGGGAACUCCAUGUGUAGCGGUGGAAUGCGUAGAUAUAUGGGAGAAUACCAGUGGCGAAGGCGGCUCUCUGGUC